rnacentral:rRNA from 1 species
UAGGGAAUCUUCCGCAAUGGCCGCAAGUCUGACGGAGCAACGCCGCGUGAGUGAAGAAGGAUUUCGGUUCGUAAACCUCUGUUGUUAGAGAAGAACAGCGCAUAGAGUAACUGUUAUGCGUGUGACGGUAUCUAACCAGAAAGCCACGGCUAACUACGUGCCAGCAGCCGCGGUAAUACGUAGGUGGCAAGCGUUGUCCGGAUUUAUUGGGCGUAAAGCGAGCGCAGGCGGUUAGAAAAGUCUGAAGUGAAAGGCAGUGGCUCAACCAUUGGAGGCUUUGGAAACUGUUUAACUUGAGUGCAGAAGGGGAGAGUGGAAUUCCGUGUGUAGCGGUGAAAUGCGUAGGUAUAUGGGGGAACGCCGAUAGCGAAAGCGGCUCUCUGGUCUGUAACUGACGCUGAGGCUCGAAAGCGUGGGGAGCGAACAGG